AUCAGAAUCUCUCCAGAAGCAUUUGAAGAAUACAGAUUCCGGCGAGCCCACUAGACGUUCCGAUUCCAUAGCUGGAGGCUUGGGAUUGAGAAUCUGAAUUCUAAAGACCCCACCAGGUGACCCAGCCGUGUGUGAUAGAGAAACUGUGCGAUGGGUCCCGGUGUGGGUUUGCGGCACGGUUGCGCCCCUCAUCGUGUGACUUGGCGGAUCACGUCUCCUCCUGGGACCAUUUCUCUUCCAAGCUGUGGCUUCAGGGCAGUGCUGUGGCUACUGCACAGCCAGAAGGCGUCUCCUCCUCCUCCUCGAAAGAUCCUUUCCAUCUUCACAGCAGUGCAGCUCUGUCUGCGUGGCCGGCUCCAGUUUAAAGGGAGAAAGAAUCGAGUCCCCUUGCUGUGGAAGCAGUGGCCCUUUUUUUUUUUGUCAUCGGAAGAAGGAAGAUUUUCCUGCUCCAAUCUAAUGUCAAAAUUCCUCUCGGCCGUCUAUUUUCCUGGUGGCAAGGACCUGACUGGCUUGUACGGCAAUCACUGGGUUCAAGCUGAGAUGAAGUCCGAAGAAGUCUUGCUUGAUGGACCACGUGGCUUACAGAGAAAAAGUCUGUUUGUAAGAGAGCUUUCGCUGGCCCUGCUCAGACCCUGGUCGUCCCCAGCGGCUGGGGAUUAAAAAGCAAGAGAUAGCCCUGCCUGCUUGUCCUUGUUUACCUGUGCUCCAGACCGAAGUCACCGGGACCGCAAAGUGCCAAGCAUUCAGAUCAAAAUGCCUUCCUUUUCCCCUCCUGGCUAAAGGACAUUUACACAAAGAGCUGGGACCACGAGCUGUUUGGAUGGUUUGCCCUCUCCCACCCCCUCCCCACCAAAUCCUCGUCCUACGCUUUUACGGGAAGUAGCUUAGAGCAGAGCUCACAGGCCUCCGGCUCCAAAUCUAAACCUUGAAAAGGAUACAUGUUUUGUUUACGCAACCAUGGCAGAGCAUUCAGAACAGGUCUGGAGGCCAC
rnacentral:lncRNA from 1 species